UACAGAGGUCCCGAGCGUUGUUCGGAUUCACUGGGCGUAAAGGGUGCGCAGGUGGGUUGGCAAGUUUGAUGUGAAAGCCCCGGGCUUAACCCGGGAAUGGCAUUGAAUACUGCUGAUCUGGAGGAUCGGAGGGGGGACUGGAAUUCUUGGUGUAGCAGUGAAAUGCGUAGAUAUCAAGAGGAACCCCAGUGGCGAAGGCGAGUCCCUGGACGAUAACUGACACUGAGGCACGAAAGCCAAGGGAGCAAACAGG
rnacentral:rRNA from 1 species